UUGCUUCGGUCAUUUGACUGCGGUCAUGCUGGAGCGCCGCCUUUAAUAUAAAUAAAUAAACAAAUGCGCCCUGUUAAAGCCUAGCCGGGCUCAUGUGCCCGGUAUCCUGGUUUCUAUGGCGUAUGUAUUCCCCAGGUGGACGGGACGCCAGUCCAUCCCAGCGUUACUCAUUUCUGCCAGCUGAGUGGACUGGAGGAACGUGAAAUGAAGUGUUUUGCUCAA